UUUCUUGAAAUUAAAAAAUCCAUCAAAUGCUUGUCCCUUUCUAUAUAUAUAUAUAUAUAUAUUGUAGAAUAUCUGAGGGGCCGCCAUAACCAAAAUUUUUUUUUUUCCAAACAAUGGAUAAUAACCCUUGGCCUUAUUCUCUUUCUGCCAAACUCAUUUUCAGCCCACUAUCUGUAAGCAAACCGAGACAAGACCCAGCCUAGCAUCUUCCUCAAUGAAGCUCUAUUUCUGCAACACCAGAGGCCGCUUCUGUGUAGUGCACUGGCCUCCAUCGCAGCUCCAAGCAAGGCCGCUGCCGAAGACCCACACCACUGUGCACGUCGUCCGCCGCCACAGCUUUGGCUACCAUUAGCGUCGCAUCUCAGCCACCGGUUCAUGCCGACACCAGCCCAGCUCGCUACUGGCUGACCUAUCCUUCUCACCCGAUGCCUUGUGCCAAUGCCAAACCCACCUAUCGUCAGCCUCUCUUUGCCGAAACUUCGCCUCUGGCCUCAGCUGCACAGCGCCAACCACACGUCGCCCACUCAACGCGCCGUGUGGCCUUGCUUAACGCCGUUCAGCUCGUCCCCCUCUCGGCCCAGUAAUACCUUUCAAAAAUCGGACCACACAACUCAGUUUUGCUUGCACAGUGCUUACUCUGCCCAUAUCUUUUAUUUUUUCUACACUGAUUCAGAUCUGUAAACUGUUUUCUCCCGAAACCCUCUUCUCAUUCUUAUUAUAUUUUUGGAUCUUCUUGAGGCUUGCAAACAAUCUUGAACUAGUGAAGACAAUACCUACCGCUGGCCUCUCUCUGCUGGUUUGCUUCUGGCUUCGACGGUCCAAUGCUGACCACACAUAUCGCCCCACUCAACGUGACGUGUGUGGUUGCCGACUCUUCUGUGGUACCAGCGUUGCUUCCGGCUUCAACUUGUCCGACGCCGACCACGCACGUUCGCCCACUCAACGCAACGUGUGUGGUCCUUUCAAGCCUAGCCCAAUCUUGUUGAUUACAGUCUGUAAAGCCUCUCUGAUUUCAGCUUAAAUUUCCAGUAUCGGCUUCGGACUUCAUCUCUCUAACUGCCCAAAUUUGCAAAUAAAUUUUUGUGUGAAAUCCACAACCUCGAGGCCUUCAGAAUCUUCACUAAUGAGAGCAAGGGCUGUUCCUCGGAAGUCCGAACAGAAACAAGGCUGUCCCUCGGAAGUCCGAGUAGAAACAAGACUUUCUCUCGGAAGUCCGAGUGGAUGCGCACUUCUACUUUGGCAGCUAAUGGAAGCAAAGGCUAUCCCCCGGGAGUUCGAGUAAGAGUCCACUCUACUUUGAAAAGAAAGAUCCUCGGAGCUCGUAUUGAUGAAAUCAAGAGCUGUUCUUCAGACCCGCACUAAUGAGAGCAAGAGUUGUCCCUCGGAAGGCUCUCCCUCAGAAGUCCGAGCAGGAACAAGGCUGUCUCUCGGAGGUCCGAGUAGAAGUAUACUUCUACUGUGUCAAGAAAACUCCCUUCAGGUUGGUAACUGAAUCUACCAUUCCUUUUUCUUCUUUGAGGGGCAACAAAAAAUUGAAAACUGUUUCAAGCAACGUAACACAAUGAAGAUAUACAAUGUAGAGAAAAUAGCUUCUAAUGGAGAUACAUAAUAUGGAGGAAAUAAAUUUCUUCAUGACAUAAGAAAGAUAGAACUUCUUGGACACUGUAGUAAAUGCAAACUGUAAAUGUCAUAGAUAGACUUCUUCUACGGAAUGUUGAAAUUUGCCCCUAGAGUUGCAAGAUCAUUUGGAAAGCUUUCACCAGCUGCUCGGGUUGUGGCCAUCAUAUACCAUCAUAGCCAUGUCUUUGGAUCUUUCUGUACAAACUGAUAUCCCCAUCCCCGCAGGAUUUUUCAUGAAUCUGUUGUAGUCGGAAACUUGCUUAUUGUUGGCCAACACACCGGGCUAGGAAUCCGGUACCCCCUCGGAAGUAAAGUUCUCCUUGAAUAAUUAUGAAUUGGGCAAGCUUGGCCAUAAUCAGUUUUCCAAC